AGUGAACGCUGGCGGUAGGCCUAACACAUGCAAGUCGAACGGCAGCACAGUAAGAGCUUGCUCUUACGGGUGGCGAGUGGCGGACGGGUGAGGAAUACAUCGGAAUCUACUUUUUCGUGGGGGAUAACGUAGGGAAACUUACGCUAAUACCGCAUACGACCUACGGGUGAAAGCAGGGGAUCUUCGGACCUUGCGCGAUUGAAUGAGCCGAUGUCGGAUUAGCUAGUUGGCGGGGUAAAGGCCCACCAAGGCGACGAUCCGUAGCUGGUCUGAGAGGAUGGACACCCACAAUGGAAAGGAGACACCGGUCAGAACUCCACGGGGGGCAGGAGUGGGGAAUUAUGGAAAAGGGGCGAAAGCCUUAUCCAGGCAAACCGCGGGGGGGAAGAAGGCCGUCGGGUUGUAAAACCCUUUUGUUGGGAAAAAAAAAGAGCAGGUUAAUACCCCGGUUUUGGGGCGGGACCCAAAAAAAAGACCCCGGCUAACUUCG
rnacentral:rRNA from 1 species